rnacentral:rRNA from 1 species
UACGAAGGGGGCUAGCGUUGUUCGGAAUUACUGGGCGUAAAGCGCGCGUAGGCGGUGAUCCAUGUCAGAGGUGAAAGCCCGGGGCUCAACUCCGGAAUUGCCUUUGAAACGGGAUCGCUAGAGUCCGAGAGAGGAUGGCGGAAUUCCUAGUGUAGAGGUGAAAUUCGUAGAUAUUAGGAAGAACACCGGUGGCGAAGGCGGCCAUCUGGCUCGGUACUGACGCUCAGGCGCGAAAGCGUGGGGAGCAAAC